rnacentral:misc_RNA from 1 species
GUUACCGUUGCUUCGGCGGGCGGCCCCAGGGGGGCCGUAGCCUCCCUCAGGGGAGGUGCCCGCCGGAGGACACACAAACUAUACUUGAAUUAUUGGCCCUUCUGAGAACAAGCUUCAAUAAUCAAAACUUUCAACAACGGAUCUCUUGGUUCUGGCAUCGAUGAAGAACGCAGCGAAAUGCGAUAAGUAAUGUGAAUUGCAGACUUCAGUGAAUCAUCGAAUCUUUGAACGCACAUUGCGCCCGCCAGCAUUCUGGCGGCAUGCCUGUUCGAGCGUCAUUUCACCCUCAAGCUCCGCUUGGUGUUGGGGCACUACGGCUCAGCCGUAGCCCUGAAAUUUAGUGGCGGGCUCUCUGGGAGUCGGGCGUAGUAGCAAUAUGUCGCCCGCGGUCCCCGGAGCGCUCGGCCGUUAACUCCCAAAUUACAGAAGGUGACUC